GACGAACGCUGGCGGCGUGCUUAACACAUGCAAGUCGAACGGAAAGGCCCUGCUUUUGGGGGACGCUCGAGGGGCGAACGGGUGAAUAACACGUGAGUUACCUGCCCCUCUCUUUGGUAUAACUUGAGGAAUCGGGGGCUUAUACCGGAUAGGAGCUCCUGCUGCUUGGUGGGGGUUAGAUAUUUUUGGCGGUUUGGGAUGGGCGCGCUGCUGAUUGGCUUGUUGGUGGGGUAGUGGCCUACCAAGGCUUUGACGGGUAGCCGGGCUGGGAGGGUGGACGGCCACAUUGGGGACGGGGAAAGGGCCCGACCCCUACGGGGGGGAAGAAGGGGGGAAUAUGGAACAUUGGGCGAAGGCUGAAGGAGCGAAGGCGGGGUGGGGAAGAAGGGCUUUGGGUUGGAAACCCGCUUCGGUAUGGAACGAAGCGUGUGUGACGGUAAUGAGUAAAGAAGCACCGGCUAACUACGUG
rnacentral:rRNA from 1 species